UCUGUUUCCUCUUCUUGACUAGAUUACCGUCAUGCAGUCAACUGUAAGAACAAAUCAUCAUCACAAGUUCUCUAAAGUGCACAAGUUUCUUGCCAUAGAACAGAUCUCUCUUGUGCAAAACAAUAUUCAGAACCAGCAGCUAGAGUUCAACCACUAGCUAGUAGCCUCGUCUUUGGAAAUCCAGGGAAAUGGUCUUGGGAAUUAAAAUUGAGAGAUGAUAUUGUGGUGGGUGCACCCGCAUUAAUGAUGCUUACAGAAUCGAUUUG